GACAGAGGCCUCGAGCGUUAGGCGGAAUCACUGGGCUUAAAGCGUGUGUAGGCGGACUUCUAAGUACCUUGUGAAAUCCCACGGCUCAACCGUGGAACUGCUUGGUAUACUGGUUGUCUUGGGCCAUCUAGGGGCUAGCGGAACAAACGGUGGAGCGGUGAAAUGCGUAGAUAUCGUUUGGAACGCCAAUGGUGAGAACAGCUAGCUGGGGAUGUGCCGACGCUGAGACACGAAAGCCAGGGGAGCGAACGGG
rnacentral:rRNA from 1 species